GGGGAUAACACUUGGAAACAGGUGCUAAUACCGUAUAACACUAUUUUCCGCAUGGAAGAAAGUUGAAAGGCGCUUUUGCGUCACUGAUGGAUGGACCCGCGGUGCAUUAGCUAGUUGGUGAGGUAACGGCUCACCAAGGCCACGAUGCAUAGCCGACCUGAGAGGGUGAUCGGCCACACUGGGACUGAGACACGGCCCAGACUCCUACGGGAGGCAGCAGUAGGGAAUCUUCGGCAAUGGACGAAAGUCUGACCGAGCAACGCCGCGUGAGUGAAGAAGGUUUUCGGAUCGUAAAACUCUGUUGUUAGGGAAGAACAAGGAUGAGAGUAAAAUGUUCACCCCUUGACGGUAUCUAACCAGAAAGCCACGGCUAACUACGUGCCAGCAGCCGCGGUAAUACGUAGGUGGCAAGCGUUGUCCGGAUUUAUUGGGCGUAAAGCGAGCGCAGGCGGUUUCUUAAGUCUGAUGUGAAAGCCCCCGGCUCAACCGGGGAGGGUCAUUGGAAACUGGGAGACUUGAGUGCAGAAGAGGAGAGUGGGAUUCCAUGUGUAGCGGUGAAAUGCGUAGAUAUAUGGAGGAACACCAGUGGCGAAGGCGGCUCUCUGGUCUGUAACUGACGCUGAGGCUCGAAAGCGUGGGGAGCGAACAGGAUUAGAUACCCU
rnacentral:rRNA from 1 species